rnacentral:rRNA from 1 species
UUUGAUCCUGGCUCAGGACGAACGCUGGCGGCGUGCCUAACACAUGCAAGUCGAACGGAAACAGCAUGAAGCUUGCUUUGAGCUGUUUUAGUGGCGGACGGGUGAGUAACGCGUGAGUAACCUGCCUUUCAGAGGGGGAUAACGUCUGGAAACGGACGCUAAUACCGCAUGACAUAUCGUGGUCGCAUGGCUGUGAUAUCAAAGGAGCAAUCCGCUGAAAGAUGGACUCGCGUCCGAUUAGCUAGUUGGUGAGAUAAAGGCCCACCAAGGCGACGAUCGGUAGCCGGACUGAGAGGUUGAACGGCCACAUUGGGACUGAGACACGGCCCAGACUCCUACGGGAGGCAGCAGUGGGGGAUAUUGCACAAUGGAGGAAACUCUGAUGCAGCAACGCCGCGUGAGGGAAGACGGUUUUCGGAUUGUAAACCUCUGUCCUUGGUGACGAAACAAAUGACGGUAGCCAAGGAGGAAGCUCCGGCUAACUACGUGCCAGCAGCCGCGGUAAUACGUAGGGAGCAAGCGUUGUCCGGAUUUACUGGGUGUAAAGGGUGCGUAGGCGGCACUGCAAGUCAGGCGUGAAAUAUAUGGGCUUAACCCAUAGACUGCGUUUGAAACUGUGGUGCUUGAGUGAAGUAGAGGUAGGCGGAAUUCCCGGUGUAGCGGUGAAAUGCGUAGAGAUCGGGAGGAACACCAGUGGCGAANGCGGCUUACUGGGCUUUAACUGACGCUGANGCACGAAAGCAUGGGUAGCAAACAGGAUUAGAUACCCUGGUAGUCCAUGCCGUAAACGAUGAUUACUAGGUGUGGGGGGGUCUGACCCCUUCCGUGNCGGAGUUAACACAAUAAGUAAUCCACCUGGGGGAGUACGGCCGCANGGUUGAAACUCAAAGGAAUUGANGGGGGNNNGCACAAGCAGUGGNNGUAUGUGGUUUAAUUCGAAGCAACGC